UACGUAGGGUGCGAGCGUUAAUCGGAAUUACUGGGCGCAAAGCGUGCGCAGGCGGGCUUUUAAGCCGGACGUGAAAUCCCCGGGCUUAACCUGGGAAUGGCGUUUGGGACUGGAAGUCUGGAGUGCGGCAGAGGAGACUGGAAUUCCUGGUGUAGCAGUGAAAUGCGUAGAUAUCAGGAGGAACACCGAUGGCGAAGGCAGGUCUCUGGGCUGACACUGACGCUCAUGCACGAAAGCGUGGGGAGCAAACAGG
rnacentral:rRNA from 1 species